ensembl:snoRNA Small nucleolar RNA SNORD99
UCUGAUCAAUGAUGACCCCAAAAUUAAUGGUGACUUUUGGAUGAAGCUCGCGGAUAUGGGACUGAGAUCAGCU